AGGGAAUCUUCCGCAAUGGACGAAAGUCUGACGGAGCAACGCCGCGUGAGUGAAGAAGGCCUUCGGGUCGUAAAACUCUGUUGCCGGGGAAGAACAAGUGCCGUUCGAACAGGGCGGCGCCUUGACGGUACCCGGCCAGAAAGCCACGGCUAACUACGUGCCAGCAGCCGCGGUAAUACGUAGGUGGCAAGCGUUGUCCGGAAUUAUUGGGCGUAAAGCGCGCGCAGGCGGCUUCUUAAGUCUGAUGUGAAAUCUUGCGGCUCAACCGCAAGCGGUCAUUGGAAACUGGGAGGCUUGAGUGCAGAAGAGGAGAGUGGAAUUCCACGUGUAGCGGUGAAAUGCGUAGAGAUGUGGAGGAACACCAGUGGCGAAGGCGGCUCUCUGGUCUGUAACUGACGCUGAGGCGCGAAAGCGUGGGGAGCAAACA
rnacentral:rRNA from 1 species